rnacentral:rRNA from 2 species
CCUACGGGAGGCAGCAGUGGGGAAUCUUGCGCAAUGGGCGAAAGCCUGACGCAGCCAUGCCGCGUGAAUGAUGAAGGUCUUAGGAUUGUAAAAUUCUUUCACCGGGGACGAUAAUGACGGUACCCGGAGAAGAAGCCCCGGCUAACUUCGUGCCAGCAGCCGCGGUAA